rnacentral:lncRNA from 1 species
CAGUAAGCCAUGCCUCAGAAGCACUGCGGUUUCAAAAAUUAUUCCAAGUUAGGCACGGCUACAAGUAAAAUAUGCUGCUGGCUGUGAAAUAAUGAGAGGGAUAAUAAAUAUACAAAACUUGGAAUCUCCUGAUGCAAAAUGAAAGAGAUUUCAUAAACCCAAGCAGUCAAACUCGGAUGAAAAACCCCUGGUGUGCUCACCAUGACUAAUGCCCUGGCCUUCCAUGUGAGAAGUUCAGAUUCAAUUUCCUCUUCUGAUAUCUUGCUCUGGAGGUGGCUACGAUGGGGAUCAUUACUGGGACAGCGAGUUCAUCUGGAGGUGCCUUUAGGUGCCAAGUUCACUUGUCCAUGCUGUUUAAUGGUUUCCUGUACCAAUGCCUGCCACACAAUGUCCAGCAAGGUACUGAGGCCAGGAUUAAUCACAGAACUGGUAAGCUAUUUACCUUGGGUUAGGAAAUUUAUUCUCCUUUUUUGUGUCCUUAUGUUCCUGUACAAGCGCUCAUCUGCUUUAAUUAGAAAAGUUGGUGUAUAUAUGUACCAUUCUCACCUCCAAGGUGUGCUCAGUUCCUUGUCUCCCAUGAUGCUUCUGUUGCCACAGUUCUAACAUUAUUCUACAACCACAGCUUCCUCCUUAGCAUAAGUAUUAGCACCUAUGAUACCUAAUUUUUGAAUAUUGGUAGGAGACAGAUGAAUUGGCAAUUUGAAACGGGACCCUCACUUAAUUUUUUUUUUAUUUUUAUUUUUUCUGCUUUUUAGGGCCGCACCCAUAGCAUAUGGAGAUUCCCAGGCUAUGGGUCAAAUUAGAGCUGCGGCUGCCAGCCUACAACACAGCCACAGCAACACAGAAUCUGAGCCUUAUCCGUGACCUGCACCAUAGCUCGUGGCAACACCAGAUCCUUACCCCACUGAGCAAGGCCAGGGAUCGAACCUGCAUCCUCAUGGAUGCUAGUCAGAUUCAUUAACUGCUGAGCCACAACAGGAACUCCCUAUGGUGAAAAUUCCUUAAACUAACUAACCCUAUAUGUGUUAUUAAGCUUUCUUUAGGUACUAUGAGGGGUUAAAAAAUGUCUAAAAUCAUAAUCAUUGUCUGAAAGAAAUUGGUAAUUUAGCUCAGCAUUUCUAAAACUAUAUUCUGUGGACCGCUAGUUCUAAGACAUGCUCUGUGACAAAAGAAUUUCAUAUAUAAAGAAGUCUGAAUUCCUUCUUGUGAAAUCGUAACAUAUUAAAAGCCCUGAGAAAUUCUAAAGUGAGCACAUAUGUUAAAUCUGUUUUGCCUAGAGUUUACCCCAUGCAUUGAAUCAUGAAUCACUGUUUUUGUAUAUUACCUCUAAACAUCUCAUGGAAUGCAAUUUGGGAAAUACAGGCUCAGUAAGCUUGAGUACAGGGAUUGCAUAUACUAUUUCUUUGGUAUCAUCCACAGAAAUAUCCACAAUACCUUUUUAGAAAUAUAAGGUUAAAUGAAUAUAUUGUCGAACACAGGUGGUUCCAGAAGAGACUCUCAAAUGCCAGUCCAGAGAAAGGUGUCUGCUGUCUGUAUUAGUAUUUCUUGGGGAAAUUGUUAUAAUACAGGUUUCUGGGCUCUCUUCCUAAAGUUUGUAAUCCAG